rnacentral:rRNA from 1 species
GGAGCGUUCUGUAAGCCUGCGAAGGUGUGCUGUGAGGCAUGCUGGAGGUAUCAGAAGUGCGAAUGCUGACAUAAGUAACGAUAAAGCGGGUGAAAAGCCCGCUCGCCGGAAGACCAAGGGUUCCUGUCCAACGUUAAUCGGGGCAGGGUGAGUCGACCCCUAAGGCGAGGCCGAAAGGCGUAGUCGAUGGGAAACAGGUUAAUAUUCCUGUACUUGGUGUUACUGCGAAGGGGGGACGGAGAAGGCUAUGUUGGCCGGGCGACGGUUGUCCCGGUUUAAGCGUGUAGGCUGGUUUUCCAGGCAAAUCCGGAAAAUCAAGGCUGAGGCGUGAUGACGAGGCACUACGGUGCUGAAGCAACAAAUGCCCUGCUUCCAGGAAAAGCCUCUAAGCAUCAGGUAACAUCAAAUCGUACCCCAAACCGACACAGGUGGUCAGGUAGAGAAUACCAAGGCGCUUGAGAGAACUCGGGUGAAGGAACUAGGCAAAAUGGUGCCGUAACUUCGGGAGAAGGCACGCUGAUAUGUAGGUGAAGUCCCUU